rnacentral:rRNA from 1 species
GGUUAAGCGACUAAGCGUACACGGUGGAUGCCCUGGCAGUCAGAGGCGAUGAAGGACGUGCUAAUCUGCGAUAAGCGUCGGUAAGGUGAUAUGAACCGUUAUAACCGGCGAUUUCCGAAUGGGGAAACCCAGUGUGAUUCGUCACACUAUCAUUAACUGAAUCCAUAGGUUAAUGAGGCGAACCGGGGGAACUGAAACAUCUAAGUACCCCGAGGAAAAGAAAUCAACCGAGAUUCCCCCAGUAGCGGCGAGCGAACGGGGAGCAGCCCAGAGCCUGAAUCAGUGUGUGUGUUAGUGGAAGCGUCUGGAAAGGCGCGCGAUACAGGGUGACAGCCCCGUACACAAAAAUGCACAUGCUGUGAGCUCGAUGAGUAGGGCGGGACACGUGGUAUCCUGUCUGAAUAUGGGGGGACCAUCCUCCAAGGCUAAAUACUCCUGACUGACCGAUAGUGAACCAGUACCGUGAGGGAAAGGCGAAAAGAACCCCGGCGAGGGGAGUGAAAAAGAACCUGAAACCGUGUACGUACAAGCAGUGGGAGCACGCUUAGGCGUGUGACUGCGUACCUUUUGUAUAAUGGGUCAGCGACUUAUAUUCUGUAGCAAGGUUAACCGAAUAGGGGAGCCGAAGGGAAACCGAGUCUUAACUGGGCGUUAAGUUGCAGGGUAUAGACCCGAAACCCGGUGAUCUAGCCAUGGGCAGGUUGAAGGUUGGGUAACACUAACUGGAGGACCGAACCGACUAAUGUUGAAAAAUUAGCGGAUGACUUGUGGCUGGGGGUGAAAGGCCAAUCAAACCGGGAGAUAGCUGGUUCUCCCCGAAAGCUAUUUAGGUAGCGCCUCGUGAAUUCAUCUCCGGGGGUAGAGCACUGUUUCGGCAAGGGGGUCAUCCCGACUUACCAACCCGAUGCAAACUGCGAAUACCGGAGAAUGUUAUCACGGGAGACACACGGCGGGUGCUAACGUCCGUCGUGAAGAGGGAAACAACCCAGACCGCCAGCUAAGGUCCCAAAGUCAUGGUUAAGUGGGAAACGAUGUGGGAAGGCCCAGACAGCCAGGAUGUUGGCUUAGAAGCAGCCAUCAUUUAAAGAAAGCGUAAUAGCUCACUGGUCGAGUCGGCCUGCGCGGAAGAUGUAACGGGGCUAAACCAUGCACCGAAGCUGCGGCAGCGACGCUGAUGCGUUGUUGGGUAGGGGAGCGUUCUGUAAGCCUGCGAAGGUGUGCUGUGAGGCAUGCUGGAGGUAUCAGAAGUGCGAAUGCUGACAUAAGUAACGAUAAAGCGGGUGAAAAGCCCGCUCGCCGGAAGACCAAGGGUUCCUGUCCAACGUUAAUCGGGGCAGGGUGAGUCGACCCCUAAGGCGAGGCCGAAAGGCGUAGUCGAUGGGAAACAGGUUAAUAUUCCUGUACUUGGUGUUACUGCGAAGGGGGGACGGAGAAGGCUAUGUUGGCCGGGCGACGGUUGUCCCGGUUUAAGCGUGUAGGCUGGUUUUCCAGGCAAAUCCGGAAAAUCAAGGCUGAGGCGUGAUGACGAGGCACUACGGUGCUGAAGCAACAAAUGCCCUGCUUCCAGGAAAAGCCUCUAAGCAUCAGGUAACAUCAAAUCGUACCCCAAACCGACACAGGUGGUCAGGUAGAGAAUACCAAGGCGCUUGAGAGAACUCGGGUGAAGGAACUAGGCAAAAUGGUGCCGUAACUUCGGGAGAAGGCACGCUGAUAUGUAGGUGAAGCGACUUGCUCGUGGAGCUGAAAUCAGUCGAAGAUACCAGCUGGCUGCAACUGUUUAUUAAAAACACAGCACUGUGCAAACACGAAAGUGGACGUAUACGGUGUGACGCCUGCCCGGUGCCGGAAGGUUAAUUGAUGGGGUUAGCGCAAGCGAAGCUCUUGAUCGAAGCCCCGGUAAACGGCGGCCGUAACUAUAACGGUCCUAAGGUAGCGAAAUUCCUUGUCGGGUAAGUUCCGACCUGCACGAAUGGCGUAAUGAUGGCCAGGCUGUCUCCACCCGAGACUCAGUGAAAUUGAACUCGCUGUGAAGAUGCAGUGUACCCGCGGCAAGACGGAAAGACCCCGUGAACCUUUACUAUAGCUUGACACUGAACAUUGAGCCUUGAUGUGUAGGAUAGGUGGGAGGCUUUGAAGUGUGGACGCCAGUCUGCAUGGAGCCGACCUUGAAAUACCACCCUUUAAUGUUUGAUGUUCUAACGUUGACCCGUAAUCCGGGUUGCGGACAGUGUCUGGUGGGUAGUUUGACUGGGGCGGUCUCCUCCUAAAGAGUAACGGAGGAGCACGAAGGUUGGCUAAUCCUGGUCGGACAUCAGGAGGUUAGUGCAAUGGCAUAAGCCAGCUUGACUGCGAGCGUGACGGCGCGAGCAGGUGCGAAAGCAGGUCAUAGUGAUCCGGUGGUUCUGAAUGGAAGGGCCAUCGCUCAACGGAUAAAAGGUACUCCGGGGAUAACAGGCUGAUACCGCCCAAGAGUUCAUAUCGACGGCGGUGUUUGGCACCUCGAUGUCGGCUCAUCACAUCCUGGGGCUGAAGUAGGUCCCAAGGGUAUGGCUGUUCGCCAUUUAAAGUGGUACGCGAGCUGGGUUUAGAACGUCGUGAGACAGUUCGGUCCCUAUCUGCCGUGGGCGCUGGAGAAUUGAGGGGGGCUGCUCCUAGUACGAGAGGACCGGAGUGGACGCAUCACUGGUGUUCGGGUUGUCAUGCCAAUGGCACUGCCCGGUAGCUAAAUGCGGAAGAGAUAAGUGCUGAAAGCAUCUAAGCACGAAACUUGCCCCGAGAUGAGUUCUCCCUGACUCCUUGAGAGUCCUGAAGGAACGUUGAAGACGACGACGUUGAUAGGCCGGGUGUGUAAGCGCAGCGAUGCGUUGAGCUAACCGGUACUAAUGAACCGUGAGGCUUAACCUU